ACUCUAUACUAAAGCAGCUUGGCAUCUUACCAUGGCAUAGCACCAGGUCACAUCUAACCUCAUAAUCACCUUGUACCAUAAUCACCACGGCCACCAAAACUUUAUGGUGACACAAAGAUGCAAAACAAGCCCAAUAAAACCGAACAAAAAAAAUACAUGUUGUGAUGUUCCCUUGCUGAUGCAAAUCUCUAGGUCAUCCAUGAACCAUAAAGUGGCAGUGUUUUCUUAUCCUUAU